CCUUUCCUUUUUCUUUUUUUCAAAUCCGAGCUUCGAGCUCCAUCUCCACGCACCGUGAGCUUCGAGCUCGAUCGAUCUCCAUCUCUGAGCUCUUCAUCUCUCUCUCUCUUUCUCUCUCUCUCUCCCUCUCUCUCUCCAUCAUCUACUCCCUCCGAUUCGAUCAGAUCCGAUCCAAACCCUAAUAUCCACCUCCUCUAAUCCCUCCGAUCUGAUCGAAUCCAAGCCCUAAUUCUCAGAUCCUAUCCAUGGCGUCCCUCUCCUCCCUUCCGCCGCUCCCCUCCGCGCGGCGGCGCUCCGCCGCUCUAGCCGCCCCGCCCCGAUCGCCGCCACGGCGAAUCCGUUGCCGUCGCCGUCGCCGGAGCCGAGGAGGCGAUCUUCGUGUGGUCGCCGCUGUUUCGGCCGAUCGUCGGCGACGUGGCCGGAGGAGGCGGCGGUGCUGCGGCGACGGCGCUGCGGCGGCGGCGGAGGAGGUGGCGGCGGAGGAGGUGGCGGCGGAGAGGGAGAGGGGGAGGUUGACGGCGGAGAAGGCGAGGGUUCUGAGGAGUGAGACGGGUGCUGCUCUUCCGCGUCGGCCGCGCCACGUGGCACUGGCUCCUACGCUGCCCGCUCCUCCGCGAUAAGUGGAGCUGCGGCUUCCGCUGGUUCUCCUUUGCCCCCGACCUCUACGCCCUCGUUUAAGGGGGCCAUGAGCUUAGCCUUACGACUGGAAAUGCUGGUGGACGAUUGGCCUGUGAUAGCCGCAGCACGCGGGAUAGACGCCCAAAAUCAUUAAAAUGGAUCUGGAGCAUCGUGGUAACGGGAAUAAACUCCGAACAGACGGAUCGCGGAUUGGUGGCCGUUCGGGUGGUCGCACAGAGUUCGGGCCAAACCGGGUCACGGGUGCCGCGGAGGCCGAUUGCAAGUGACUACAAGCGAUCGGAACGCGAGUUAAGGUGGGUUGUGCUUACCGAAGCGACUAGGUCGCCUUUAUGUCUAAGCAAAUUAAGAAUUCAUGUUGAUGCAUAUGAAUGUAAAUGAAGCAUGAAAAUGAUGCAUGUUAAUGUAAAUGCCAAGUAGAAAUGCGUAAUGAUAUGAUGCAAGUUACAUAAUGCUAAAUGAAUGUAUGAGUUAAUUGUUA